CACCUCUAGCAUUACCAGUAUUAGAGGCACUGCCUGCCCAGUGACAUUAGUUUAACGGCCGCGGUAUCCUGACCGUGCAAAGGUAGCAUAAUCAUUUGUUCCUUAAUUAGGGACUUGUAUGAAUGGCUCCACGAGGGUUUAACUGUCUCUUACUUUUAAUCAGUGAAAUUGACCUUCCCGUGAAGAGGCGGGAAUAAAAAAAUAAGACGAGAAGACCCUAUGGAGCUUAAAUUAAAUUAUCUAAUAAAUUAAAACUUAAUCCAAUAGGCAUAACAAUAUAUUUAACUAGAUAACAAAUUUUGGUUGGGGUGACCUCGGAGUAUAACUUAACCUCCGAGCUAUAUAAACUAAGACUUACCUGUCAAAGUGAAAUAACUUAUUGAUCCAAUCUUAUUGAUCAACGGAAUAAGUUACCCUAGGGAUAACAGCGCAAUCCUAUUUAAGAGUUCAUAUCGACAAUAGGGUUUACGACCUCGAUGUUGGAUCAGGACACCCAAAUGGUGCAGCAGCUAUUAAA
rnacentral:rRNA from 1 species